rnacentral:rRNA from 1 species
AUUGAACGCUGGCGGCAGGCUUAACACAUGCAAGUCGAGCGAGCGGCGGACGUGUGAGUAAUGUAUGAGAAACUGCCUGAUGGAGGGGGAUAACUACUGGAACCGGUAGCUACUACCGAUUACCAUCCGAUGGGCCCAGAUGGGAUUCGCUAGUAGGUGGGGUAAUGGCUCACCUAGGCGACGAUCCCUAGCUGGUCUGAGAGGAUGACCAGCAACACUGGAACUGAGACACGGGCCAGACUCCUACGGGAGGCAGCAGUGGGGAAUAUUGCACAAUGGGCGCAAGCCUGAUGCAGCCAUGCCGCGUGUGUGAAGAAGGCCUUCGGGUUGUAAAGCACUUUCAGCGAGGAGGCGUUACUCGCAGAAGAAGCACCGGCUAACUCCGUGCCAGCAGCCGCGGUAAUUC